GCUGUGAUGGCCGAGUGGUUAAGGCAUUGGACUCAAAAUCAAAUACGGUCUCCCUGCGCAGGUUCAAACCCUGCUCACAGCG